rnacentral:miRNA from 1 species
UUUUAUAAUUGGUGGUGGUGGUGGUGAUGAUGAUGAUGAUGAUAUUUAUAUUUAUAUCCUGCCCACUCUGGGCGGCUCCCAUCAUCAUCAUCAUCAUCAUCAUCAUCAUGUGAU